UCCGGUUUGUCACCGGCAGUCUCCUAUGAGUCCCCACCAUUACAUGCUGGCAACAUGCGACGGGGGUUGCGCUCGUUGCGGGACUUAACCCAACAUCUCACGACACGAGCUGACGACAGCCAUGCACCACCUGUGAUCCUGCCCCGAAGGGAAGGUGUGUUUCCACACCGGUCAGGAACAUGUCGAGCCCAGGUAAGGUUCUUCGCGUUGCGUCGAAUUAAACCACAUGCUCCGCUGCUUGUGCGGGGCCCCCGUCAAUUCCUUUGAGUUUUAGCCUUGCGGCCGUACUCCCCAGGCGGGGUGCUUAAUGCGUUAGCUUCGGCACAGAGCGGGUCAAACGCCGCCCCACACCUAGCACCCAACGUUUACGGCUAGGACUAC
rnacentral:misc_RNA from 1 species